GUGCUUACUUCGGAAGUACAUAUACUAAAAUUGGAACACUAUAGAGAUUAGCACGGCCCCUACGCAAGGAUGACACACAAAUUUGUGAAGCGUUUCAUAUUUUU
ensembl:snRNA U6 U6 spliceosomal RNA